UACGAAGGGGGCUAGCGUUGCUCGGAAUCACUGGGCGUAAAGGGUGCGUAGGCGGAUCUUUAAGUCAGGGGUGAAAUCCUGGAGCUCAACUCCAGAACUGCCUUCGAUACUGGAGAGCUUGAGUCCGGGAGAGGUGAGUGGAACUGCGAGUGUAGAGGUGAAAUUCGUAGAUAUUCGCAAGAACACCAGUGGCGAAGGCGGCUCACUGGCCCGGUACUGACGCUGAGGUGCGAAAGCGUGGGGAGCAAACAGG
rnacentral:rRNA from 1 species